GCAGUUUUCAGGAAAGCGAGUGCGAACGUUGUAGGUAUUGUUUUUGUUUCAUUGCGCAAGCGAUCAUCUAAAUUCGAAUAAUCUAAUUAUCUAAUUCUAUGAUGUGCAGUCCUCCUGUCAGGAAAGCGAGUGCCAACGUUGUAAGUAUUGUUGCGAAGUACGUUGUUCCCUCCGGGGGAGUGAUCCAGUUUGCUGCCCUUUCUCUUCCCG
rnacentral:lncRNA from 1 species